CUGAUCAGCAGGAGAAGUUCAUACCACUUGAGCUGGAUCUAUCUGCACAUGCACCUGGCCCAGGAAGCUGUAAUGGGAGAUCUGAUGAGCAGUGGAGAACUGAACCAAAGCCCUUGGCUUUUGCUCCAUACCAGUCAGAAUCUCAUCAUGAUAUCGUGUUGCAUUGAGUAGUCAUGCCUCCACAGGCUCUUCUUGGCUGUGACUGCUACGUUUUCCUUGGUUUUGCCCACCUUACCGUUUACAGAAGGUAGUGGUCAGGUAUUUGGUAGUGUAUCCCUUACUUGGGCUUUGCUUGAUGCUUCUCUUCUGAGAAAACUGGGGAUAUGCAUUUUGGGGAGGAAGGCCACAGAGAUGAAGUGACAUUCUUUUCACAUCAUAUCAGUGCUACAUACUAUCGAAAGGGCUAAUCACUGUUGAUGUUAAUUGUAAUCACCUGGCUAAGAUAUUCUUUGUCAGGAUUUUGACUUUAAAGUUACUCUUUAUGCUUUUCCUUCUCAGAAAAUGCUUUUUGAAAUGAAGUCACUCUGUGCAGCUGACAUUUAAAAAGUAGGAAAUUAUGUUGACAGAGUAUCUAUAUAAAUUAUGUGCAGUUCUUUUAUUUUCAGAGUUUGGAAUUAUAGCAUUCCUAUAAAUCUUAUUACUAAUGGCUCCACGAAUUGUGCACAACUGAUAUGUAUUAGUGCACAUCUUAAAAGCAUGUGGGCAUGAGCUGUAUUUGAAAAAACAUUCAGAUGGAAGAGCUACCUGUUUUGGAGUGAAUCUUAAUUGGAACUUAAUGAUGCCUCCUACUAAUUUACUAUUUCAGUUGAACCUACAAUAUCAGCUGUAGCCCAAAAAAUAUAAGAGCUACAAUUCAUGCAAUUCAACAUCAGCUGCCAAGGCCCACCUGGACUGCACCUGCAAAACCAGCUGUGGUUUCUUUGCUCUCACAAUUCAUGUCAGGGUUUUUCAGCCAAUGCAUCAUUGGUUUCAAAUUUUAUAUUGUUCCUCUCUCAAUCCUCCACCCCUCUAGUUUCUAAAUAAUAGAGAAUAAUUAGGUGAGGUUUAAACUCUCAGGACUAUUCAGGGUUUGUGGAGAAUAGGAAGGUUUCUUCCAGGUUACUGCACAAUUUUAAGAGCCUAUCAAGAAGUAUCCAAUAUUAACAAGUAGAAAAGCAGCAUGAGUAUGAGGAUGGAAUUUCCCACAAUACUUAGUACAUGGAAAAAAUGUAGAACAUACAAAAAAAAGCAGAUUGUAAAAAAAUUUCACAAAUAAACAUAGUUAUAAAAAUUAAUUUAUAA